ACCAGCAUGGUUUAAUGGUUUGAGAGUUUGACUAUGACUCUGGAGACCUGGGUUCAAUUCCCAUUUUGGCC